GCGGUGGCCGUGUAGGUGGCAGUGGUGGUGGAGGAGGAGGUAGCCAACACUGUUUAUAAAAAAAAAAAUAUAUAUUUUAUUUUUAUUUUAAUUGGGGUAGCCCCCAAAAUAUUGGGACAUACAAAUAAGAAAACUGUUCUUUUUCAAUGUGCUCCCCAAUGAGAAGGCGACAACGCAUUCAUAUGUCAAUCCAUAUCAACUUUCGAUGCCAUUGACUGUGCCUACCAUGGUGACCACGGGUAACGCGGAUUCAGGGUUCGAUUCCGUAAAAGGACCUUGACAAACAGCUACCACAUGCAAGGAUGGCAGCAGGCGCGCAAAUGACCUACUCCUGACGCGGGAAGGUAGUGAC